UUUCCGGUUGAUCCUGCCGGAGGCCUUUGCUAUCGGAGUCCGAUUUAGCCAUGCUAGUCGAGCGAGUUCAGACUCGCGGCACCGAGCUCAGUAACACGUGGCCAAACUACCCUACAGAGACGGAUACCCUCGGGAAACUGAGGUUAACCCGUCAUAUCGAUCUCAGGCUUGAAUCGCAGAGACCGACAAACGCUCCGGCGCUGCAGGAUGCGGCUGCGGCCGAUUAGGUAGACGGUGGGGUAACGGCCCACCGUGCCCAUAAUCAGUACAGGUUGUGAGAGCGAGAACCCGGAGACGGAAUCUGAGACAAGAUUCCGGGCCCUACGGGGCGCAGCAGGCGCGAAACCUUUACACUGCACGCACGUGCGAUAAGGGGACUCCGAGUGCGAGGGCAUAUCGUCCUCGCUUUCGUGUACCGUAGGGUGGUACACCAACAAGGGCUGGGCAAGACCGGUGCCAGCCGCCGCGGUAAUACCGGCAGCCCGAGUGAUGACCGAUCUUAUUGGGCCUAAAGCGUCCGUAGCUGGCUGCGCAAGUCCGUCGGGAAAUCCACUCGCCCAACGAGUGGGCGUCCGACGGAAACUGCACAGCUUGGGACCGGAAGGCUCGAAGGGUACGUGCGGGGUAGGAGUGAAAUCCCAUAAUCCCGCACGGACCACCGAUGGCGAAAGCACUUCGAGAAAACGGAUCCGACAGUGAGGGACGAAAGCCAGGGUCUCCAACCGGAUUAGAUACCCGGGUAGUCCUGGCCGUAAACGAUGUCUGCUAGGUGUGGCACAGGCUACGAGUCUCUGUUGUGCCGUAGGGAAGCCGAGAAGCAGACCGCCUGGGAAGUACGUCUGCAAGGAUGAAACUUAAAGGAAUUGGCGGGGGAGCACUACAACCGGAGGAGCCUGCGGUUUAAUUGGACUCAACGCCGGAA
rnacentral:rRNA from 1 species